CCCUAGUACUGCGAGUGAAGCGGGAAAAGCUCAAAUUUAAAAUCUGGCAGUGUGUGCUGUCGGAAUUGUAGCCUAGAGAAGUGUUACCUGCGUCGGGCCGUGUAUAAGUCUCCUGGGAUGGAGCGUCGUAGAGGGUGAGAAUCCCGUCUUUGACACGGAGUUACCGUUGCAUGUGUAUGCUCUCAAAGAGUUGAGUUGUUUGGGAAUGCAGCUCUAAAUGGGUGGUAAAUUCCAUCUAAAGCUAAAUAUUGGCGAGAGACCGAUAGCGAACAAGUACCGUGAGGGAAAGAUGAAAAGAACUUUGGAAAGAGAGUUAAACAGUAUGUGAAAUUGUUGAAAGGGAAACGCUUAAAGUCAGUCGUGUUGGUCAGGGAUCAAGCUAGCAGAUAUUGCUGGGUGUACUUCCUGGUUGAUAGGUCAACAUGAGUUUUGACGGCUGGAGAAAGACAUUGGGGAAUGUGGCACCUUUGGGUGUGUUAUAGCUCUGUGUCAUAUACAGCAUUCGAGACUGAGGGUAGCAGCGCGCCGUAAAGGCGGGGUUUCGACCACGUUCGCGCUUAGGAUGUUGGCAUAAUGGCUUAAGCGACCCGUCU
rnacentral:rRNA from 1 species